rnacentral:lncRNA from 1 species
AACACAAAGAAUUUAACAGUAAUAAAGUCAUCGACGGCCGGCAGCAAAUCAGACACUGCGGCCCGUGGCGAGAAG